CUGCUCCUAGUUAUAGACAAAGCCGAAAGUUAGACCACAGUGUACGUAUGAAAAACCUUCAGAAAAAGAUAGAAAAAGUAAAAACAACGAAGGAAAAACAAGAGCAAGGAGUUCCGUAGCGUACCUCUUUCAGGUGCCUCCCAGAGUAGCCAGGAUCCAGCGACGGUAUUCUCCCUGGUUUUUCAUGGUCUUUCUCCGCACAUAUGACGCAUCAAUGAGGGUCAUUCAUUGGAAAGAAAGCCGUCGCCAUCGUCUGGGUGUUCAAUGGGACACCUAGCAAAGCGACCGAGAAGAAAAAAAAAAC
rnacentral:lncRNA from 1 species